rnacentral:lncRNA from 1 species
CCAGCAUGCAGAUGAAAAAGGGAAAGCAGCUGUUCACAUAGUCAAGGCAGAGCUUCAGACGUUGGGAGCGAAGACAAGAAUACUGUCUAAACAGGUGAAAUCUGGUGUUUUGGAAACAUGACAAUGGGACCAAGGACUUCAACAUCUACUAUGCAAAUCUACAUCUACGCCUACAUUCAACUACGACAGACAAUUUCAAGCAGAACGGCCCUCCCCGCAGAACCACUAGAGAAGCUGAAGGAGAUACCUGAGAAACUAUUUAAAGACAUCAGAUAGAUACCCAGCAACCAGGAUUUCAAGAGGCAAGAUUCCAGAGAGAAGGGAAGCUUUGAGAAGUGAACCCUACCUUCUCCUGUUGCCUUUCCCCCUUAAAGUGUUUGCUAAUUCUUAUGCCACUCAGAACCAAUAUUCUUAGAAGGCACAAUGCUGAGAAGCUCAGCAAAGCUCAGAGGCUACAUGGUGCUUGCUAGUGCUAGACAGACAAAAAUUGGAGCUCAGAGCCUGUCCAGGAGGAAGAGGCGUGGGAAACACCCUAGGCUGUUAAAUUGUCUGGAUACUCAUUCUUGGUUAAAAAAGUCUCUCCCAUCCCUGCCUUGUAUACUCACAGGCUCUCUUAGUUUCUUAUAAGCAAGAAUUUAUUUUUUAUAUGGUGCAAGAUAGGAGUUUAACUUUAUUUUGCUUGAGAUGGAUAACCAGUCAAGGCUAGUAUCAUUUAUGAUAUUAACUAUCCUUUCCCCUCUGAACUGAAAUAUCACUUUUUGUCUUAUCUUAAAUUGAAACAAUCUAUUUUUGGAUUAUUUGGUUGCACUGAUUUUUUUUUUCUUUUUUCUUUUUUCUUUUGUCGUUUUUUUGAAGUGGAGUCUUGCUCUGUUGCCCAGGCUGGAGUGCAGUGGCACAAUCUCCACUCACCGCAACCUCCACCUCCCAGAUUCAAGAGAUUCUCCCGCCUCAGCCUCCCCAGUAGCUGGAAUUACAGGUGCACACCACCACGCCUGGCUAAUUCUUGUAUUUUUAGUAGAGAUGGGGUUUCACCACGCUGACCAGACUGGUCUUGAACUCCCAACCUCAAGUGAUCCACCCACCUCAGCCUCCCAAAAUGCUGGGAUUACAGGUGUUGAGCCACCAUGCCCGACUGGUUGCACUGAUCUGUUUGUAUAUUCAAAUAUGUAGAGGACACAUCAUUCUUUUUCACUUCGCAGCAUCUGAAUCUCAUUGUUACAUGAGGAAAACCCCCACCUUAUGAUUCUGAGCCUCCCAUGAGAGAAGCUGAAAAUGCCAUGUAAAUCCUUUCCCAGCUUGCCUUGCAACUAAGGUAUAAUAAGUAGCCUCCAAACAGGCCCCAGUGCUCUCUGGCUG